rnacentral:rRNA from 1 species
UACGGAGGGGGCUAGCGUUGUUCGGAAUUACUGGGCGUAAAGCGCACGUAGGCGGUUUUCCAAGUUGGGGGUGAAAUCCCUGGGCUUAACCCAGGAACUGCCUCCAAAACUGGGAGACUCGAGUCCGAGAGAGGUGAGUGGAAUUUCCAGUGUAGAGGUGAAAUUCGUAGAUAUUCGGAGGAACACCAGUGGCGAAGGCGGCUCACUGGCUCGAUACUGACGCUGAGGUGCGAAAGCGUGGGGAGCAAACAGG